GUAGGUGGCAAGCGUUGUCCGUGAUUAUUGGGCGUAAAGCGCGCGCAGGUGGUUCUUUAAGUCUGAUGUGAAAGCCCCCCGGGCUCGAACCGGGGAGGGUCAUUAGGAAACGUGGGGAACUUGAGUGCAGGAGAGGAAAGUGGAAUUCCACGUGUAGCGGUGAAAUGCGUAGAUAUGUGGAGGAACACCAGUGGCGAAGGCGACUUUCUGGCCUGUAACUGACACUGAGGCGACGAAAGCGGUGGGGAGACAAACAGGAUUAGAUACCCUGGUAGUCCACGCCGUAAACGAUGAGUGCUAAGUGUUGGGGGGUUUCCGCCCCUCAGUGCUGCAGCUAACGCAUUAAGCACUCCGCCUGGGGAGUACGGUCGCAAAGACUG
rnacentral:rRNA from 1 species